UAGAAUACAUGAUGAUCUCACCCCAACUUGAACUCUCUCAUUCAUAAUAUGAUGACAAAUAAAAGAUCUGAUAUUCUG